AUAAUACUCCAUAGAUUAGAGACACUGGAAUGUUCUUUAGUCGAAAGUUCUGGCGCCUUAGGAUGGAUCUGCGGUCGAUUAGGUUGUUGUUGGGGUAACGGCCCAACAAGCCUGUAAUCGAUACGGGUUGUGGGAGCAAGAGCCCGGAGAUGGAAUCUGAGACACGAUUCCAGGCCCUACGGGGCGCAGCAGGCGCGAAAACUUUACAAUGCAGGAAACUGUGAUAAGGGAACUCCGAGUGCCCGUAUACGCGGGCUGUCCAGGUGUUUAAAAAUCAUCUGAAGAAAGGGCCGGGCAAGACCGGUGCCAGCCGCCGCGGUAAUACCGGCGGCUCGAGUGGUGGCCACUAUUAUUGGGCUUAAAGCGUCCGUAGCUGGACCGAUAAGUCUCUUGGGAAAUCCGCCGGCUCAACCGGCGGGCGUCUAAGGGAUACUGUUAGUCUAGGGACCGGGAGAGGUGAGAGGUACUCCGGGGGUAGGAGUGAAAUCCUGUAAUCCCCGGGGGACCACCGAUGGCGAAGGCAUCUCACCAGAACGGCUCCGACAGUGAGGGACGAAAGCUGGGGGAGCGAACCGGAUUAGAUACCCGGGUAGUCCCAGCCGUGAACUAUGCGCGUUAGGUGU
rnacentral:rRNA from 1 species